GUGUAAUUACCUCUGCGUACUAGUUUUUAGCACUAACAUUAGUCAGUUAUACUAGCCCUGGGCAUAGAGGAAAUUGUAUUUCCUCUAUGCCCUGGGUCUAGUCUGUAGACCAGUUUAUGGAAGCAAUUCAGGGUGGUUCGUGCCCUUAUUUUAAUGUAACUGGAUUGAACCAGAAUCAGAUGUCGUAUCAGGAAUAAUUCAUACUUUAUCUCAUCUGAUAUCGCCAUGAAACAAAGCGAAGCGUAUCACCAAAAAGGCAAUACAUAAUGAAAAAUUACGUAAAAUGCGCAAUUGAAAUUUAAAGAUGGCAAGCAGAACUAUACUACAUUCUGGAAGUAGCCGGUAGAUCUAGAGUGGGGGCAAAUGAAAAUGACAAAUUUUAUAGAAUUAUACUAAAUAUUUUCCAUCUCUCAAGUAAAAUGUGUUACAUAUA